rnacentral:rRNA from 1 species
CCUAAGGUAGCGAAAUUCCUUGUCGGGUAAGUUCCGACCUGCACGAAUGGCGUAAUGAUGGCCAGGCUGUCUCCACCCGAGACUCAGUGAAAUUGAACUCGCUGUGAAGAUGCAGUGUACCCGCGGCAAGACGGAAAGACCCCGUGAACCUUUACUAUAGCUUGACACUGAACAUUGAGCCUUGAUGUGUAGGAUAGGUGGGAGGCUUUGAAGUGUGGACGCCAGUCUGCAUGGAGCCGACCUUGAAAUACCACCCUUUAAUGUUUGAUGUUCUAACGUUGACCCGUAAUCCGGGUUGCGGACAGUGUCUGGUGGGUAGUUUGACUGGGGCGGUCUCCUCCCAAAGAGUAACGGAGGAGCACGAAGGUUAGCUAAUCCUGGUCGGACAUCAGGAGGUUAGUGCAAUGGCAUAAGCUAGCUUGACUGCGAGAGUGACGGCUCGAGCAGGUGCGAAAGCAGGUCAUAGUGAUCCGGUGGUUCUGAAUGGAAGGGCCAUCGCUCAACGGAUAAAAGGUACUCCGGGGAUAACAGGCUGAUACCGCCCAAGAGUUCAUAUCGACGGCGGUGUUUGGCACCUCGAUGUCGGCUCAUCACAUCCUGGGGCUGAAGUAGGUCCCAAGGGUAUGGCUGUUCGCCAUUUAAAGUGGUACGCGAGCUGGGUUUAGAACGUCGUGAGACAGUUCGGUCCCUAUCUGCCGUGGGCGCUGGAGAAUUGAGGGGGGCUGCUCCUAGUACGAGAGGACCGGAGUGGACGCAUCACUGGUGUUCGGGUUGUCAUGCCAAUGGCACUGCCCGGUAGCUAAAUGCGGAAGAGAUAAGUGCUGAAAGCAUCUAAGCACGAAACUUGCCCCGAGAUGAGUUCUCCCUGACUCCUUGAGAGUCCUGAAGGAACGUUGAAGACGACGACGUUGAUAGGCCGGGUGUGUAAGCGCAGCGAUGCGUUGAGCUAACCGGUACUAAUGAACCGUGAGGCUUAACCUU